UGCAGUGAUGAGGCUUUAGACUAGAGUCUCUGAGACCUUUUGAUGUCCUCACAACUACUGAGCA
rnacentral:snoRNA from 1 species